rnacentral:lncRNA from 1 species
UCAGAGUGCUAUACGGGCCAUAUUACUGACAGGAUUGAGCCUUAUAAAAAAGAUGAAGUUUUGAAAUAUCUCUACCUGUAUUCAUUAGAGCUCAACAAACAGUUAUAAAGUAGAUGAUGCCUUUUAAAAACAUGCAUAGUCUAGUGCUGAACUUUCCCCUAUUUGGUUUUUAAUUUUACUUUUUAAGAUUUUAUUAUAUCUUACAUUAUUAUAGACUUAUCUAUGAGAUACACAUUCUAAAAUAAAUGAAUGCAGUUUCUAAAAUAAUUAUUCUAUUUUAUGAGUUUUCUUUGAUAUAUUUUCUUCCAUUAAUUUUUCUGGCCUCUCUUGGCUGGAUCAUCUUUACUCCACACAGUAGACAGUGUGAAUGCAAGUAUCCUAGCUUGCUUCCCCAUUGCUGACCAAAAACAGUAGCUUGAGAGGAAAGGGCUUAUUUGCCAUACUCUGUAGGUUACAAUCAGUCCAUACCAGAAGGAUGAGAGCAUGCUCUCAGCAGGAACUGAGACCAUGGAGGAACGCUACUCGUGGGCUUUCUCCCUUUGAUUUGCACAGUUACCUUCUUAUUCAACUCAGUAUAGCAUGGAAAGAAUUUAUACUUAUCUGAGGUGCUACAAGAUGGCUUAGAACAAGGCUAGCUAUAGUUAAAAAAAAAUCUGUGGGGCAGACAAAUGUUUUUAGGUGAUACAUUUUUUUAACCUUUAGUAGAAAAGACUAUAGUUCUCUAAAGUAACAUCUAUGACCUUAUUUUAAUAUUUUAAUUUGUUAUCUGCAAACCUGAUCUUUUAAACUUUUGAUUGCCCAUUAAAUUUGUUAUCGACAAAACAGAAGUAAAAGAGUGUUACUGACAUCUGCACCCUGGAGCUAACUAACCCUGUACCCAAAUCUGUACCCAAAUCCAGCCCUGAGAGAGCUGGUCUUCCAGGAGUGCAGACACACCUAAGAUCACAGACUCACAGGGUCACAGGAGGGACAGGCUCCAGUCAGAGACAGCAAAACCAACUAACACCAGAAAUAACCAGAUGGUAAGAGGAAAGCACAAGAACCUAAGCAACAGAAACCAAGGCUACCUGGCAUCAUCAGAACCCAGUUCUCCCACCAUAGCAAGUCCUGGAUACUCCAACACAUCGGAAAAGCAAGAUUUAGAUUUAAAGUCACAUCUCAUGAAGAUGAUAGAGGACUUUAAGAAGGACAUAAAUAACUCCCUUAAAGAAAUACAGGAGAACACAGGUAAACGGUUAGAAGCCCUUAAAGACAAAACACAAAAUUCCUUAAAGAAUUACAGGAAAACACAACCAAAGAGGUGAAAAAAAUUGAACAAAGCCAUCCAGGAUCUAAAAAGCGAAAUAGAAACAGUAAAGAAAUCACAAAGGGAAAAAAUCCUGGAGAUAGAAAACCUAGGAAAGAGACCAGGAGUCAUAGGUGAAAGCAUCACCAAUAGAAUACAAGAGAUGGAAGAGAGAAUCUCAGGUGUACAAGAUAACCUUAGAAAACAUGGACACAACAAUCAAAAAAAAAAAAAACGUGCAAAAUGCAAAAAGCUCCUAACCUAAAACAUCCAGGAAAUCCAGGACACAAUGAGAAGACCAAAACAAUAGGAUAAUAGGUAUAGAAGAGAGUGAAGAUUCCCAACUUAAAGGGCUAGUAAAUAUCUUCGACAAAAUUAUAAAAGAAAACUAACUUCCCUAUCCUAAACAAAGAGACUCCCAUGAAUAUACAAGAAGGCUACAGAACUCCAAAUAGACUUGACCAGAAAAGUAAUUCUUCCCAUCGCACAGUAGUCAAAACACCAAAUGCUCUAAACAAACAAAGAAUAUUAACAGUAGUAAGGGAAAAAGGUCAAGUAACAUAUAAAGGCAGACCUAUCAGAAUUACACCAGAGACUCUAAAACCCAGAAGAUCCUGGGUAGAUGUCAUACAGACCCUAAGAGAACACAAAUGCCAGCCCAGGCUACUAUACCCAGCAAAACUCUCGAUUACCAUAGAUGGAGAAAACAAGAUAUUCCGUGACAAAACCAAAUUUACACAAUGUCUUUCCACAAAUUUAACCCUACAAAGAAUAAUAAAUGAAAAACUCGAAGGGAAACUACAUGCUAGAAAAAGCAAGAAAAUAAUCUUUUAACAAACCCAAAAGAAGAUAGCCACCUAAACAUAAUCCCACCUCUAACAACAAAAAUAACAGGAAGUAACAAUCACUUUUCCUUAAUAUCUCUAAACAUCAAUGGACUCAAUUCCCCAAUAGGAAGACAUAGACUAGAAAACUGGAUAUGUAAACAGGACCUAGCAUUUUGGUGAAUAUAGGAAAUGCACCUUAGUAACAAAGACAGACACACCUCAGAGUAAAAGACUGGAAAAAAUAUCUUCCAGGCCAAUGGUCCCAAGAAGCAAGCUGGAGUAGCCAUUCUAAUAUUGAAUAAAAUUGACUUUCAACCAAAAGUUACCAAAAAAGAUACGGAAAGACACUUCAUACUGGUCAAAGGAAAAAAAAUCUACCAAGAUGAACUUGUGAGUAUCAGAUACAAGGGUUCUCACAUUCAUAAACAAACAUGUAUUAAGCUCAAAGCAUACAAUGCACUGCACACAAUAAUAGUAGGAGACUUCAGCACUCCACUCUCACCUGUGGACAGAUCAUAGAAACAGAAACUUAACAGAAACACCACAGUGAAACUAACAGAAGUUUUGCACCAAGUAGAUAUAACAGAUCUACAGAACAUUUCAUCCUAAAAGAAAAGAAUAUACCUUUGUCUCAGCACCUCAUGGUUCCUUCUCCAAAAUUCACCAUAUAAUCGGUAAUGAAACAAACCUCAACAUAUACAACAAGAUUUAAGUAACCCAUGCAUGCUAUUAGCCUAAGGCUGGUCUUCAGUAACAACAGAAACAACAGAAGCCUACAUACACAUGGAUGCUGAACAAUGCUCUACUUGGUCAAGGAAGAAAUAAAGAAAUUAAAGGCUUUUUAGAAUUUAAUGAAAAUGAAGACAUACCAAAACUUAUGGGACACAAUGAAAGCAGAGAUAAGAGGAAAACUCAUAGCUCUAAUUUCCUCCAAAAAGAAACUGGAGAGAGCUUACACUGGCAGCUUGACAGCACAACUGAAAGCUCUAGAACAAAAAGAAGCAAAUACACCCAAGAAGAGUAGAUGGCAGGAAAUAAUCAACUCAGGGCUGAAAUCAACC